AACCCAGAGAGCAAUCCUUACAUCGGAAACCCACAGACAACGUUCGGGCAGAUGGGAGAGAGCAAGGCGGGAGUCUGCCCGCUUUCCAAGUUGGUUUGAAUCUCUCAGUUGGAACGGAUCUCAAGCAGAAAUUCUGACCCGCCCCAAGGAAAUCGCUUCUCCCCAAGGCUUUUGCAGCGCGAUCCACUUGCAAAGAAGCUGCUUUACGCGGUGGAAACUUUCCGGUGCAAAAGGAAACAGCGGCGCCAGCAAUAGCAUCUAGCAAGCCAGGCAAGCAACCCUAGAUCUAGCCAGCCAGCUAUUCCGCUGCCGCUAGCUCGCUUCUCACCAACCAGCACACCGGAGGGGAGGCAAAGAGCCGGCGUUUAACUCUUUUCCCUCCAUCCUAUCCACUUCCUCGACGAAAGGAAGGAGUCGCUGCCGCCAAUUCGUUUUGGAACUCAUUUCUCGGACUAAAAGGAAACGAUCGCAUGAUUGGAUUGAUUUCUCAGUAUCAGCGAAAGCGUGGCUACAACCGCUUGCCUGGUUUGGAAAUCGGCAGCCUUCGAUCCCGAGGGCAAUCCCGCGGAUGGGGCUAAUAAAAUGUUUUUUUUCCCCCAGACCCUUUGUUAUCCACCCUUCAAGUCCUGCUGUUCACGGAACGCAGAAAUACAGCCAGAUGUGCUUUCAUUUGCAGCGUCUUCUCAAGCUACAGGAAAUCUUCGCUGCAACCCAUUGCAGAGUGCGCUUACUUGAGGGUAAAUCUCAUUGACUUUAUCGGUUGCAGUUGUACUUCGGAGUAAAUCUAGCUAGGUGGGCUGAGGUAGUGUAAGAAAAGGUCCUGAUUAACCUCCGAUCCCCAGGUGGUGAGAUCCCGAGAGCUUGCUCUGUUGGACACAAUUAUUUUCUGAGUAAAGGGGAAAAGAUGCUA